AUGGGGGUGAAGGGGUCCCUGGGGGACUCCGUGGGGUUUGGGAUGCUUGAAGGACGCGGCAGGGUCUCGGUCCUUGAGUGCGUGGAGGGGGGACCCAGCAGGUCUGGGAACUUCUGCGGGGUUGGGGGACCUUGCAGGGCCGGGGUCCCUGGAGGAUCACAGGGUCUGGGGGCGAUAAAGGGGAUCCUGCUGUCGGCACCCCCUGGAAGCAGCAGCCGCAAUGGGGCCGGGCCCCUUCCCCAACUGAGCCUCACACCGGGGCUCGAGUGCUGGCAUUCAAACCUGAGGGGGCUGGGGGUCACCCCACACCCACCAGCCCCAGGUGGCGGCUUGAGCUUUGGACUGUGCGUCCUGGGAGGGCUGGGAGCAAAGAGGACCGGUCCUUGCCGUGACAUUGACCCUACGUGGAUCCCGCUGGGCUCAGCAGGACGCCUGGGACCGCUCUGCUUGCCAUCAGGCGGACGAUGCUCAGAGCUGGAAGCACGGGGACACGUUGAGCAAGCGUCCUUCGGGCACCCCAAUGUCACCCUGCAGCGGAGCGCGUCCUUGUGGGCUCAGGGCCGGAGCAGAAGGCUUCUACGGGACCGCUGUCCCCCCCCUGCCCUGAGCCGGCCUUGGGACGGGGGGUUUGGGCACAGCAGCAUCGUCCCCGUGCCGCCGGGAGCGCUGCCAGCCGCAGACCGGGGCUUUGCUUCUCCGCACCGCGCUUCCGUCCGCAGCGGCUUUCCUCGGAGGCUGCACCAAUCCUUUCGGUGCAACGGUUCCUCCCCGCACUCUGCUCUCGGUACAAUCCCAGCCUCCUCCCACCAUCUUCCCUCGAGGUCUUUGGACGGAUCGUUAAAUUCGUUUCCCUUUGUAGGGAAAACACGACCCCGCGGGAUGCUCGUGCCCGAGCUCAGCUCUGCUUUCCCCGCUGAAUCCCCGUGGGCCGGGCGCAGGCAGCGCCGUGGGAGGGGACACGCGUGGGGCCGCGGGUACCGCUGCGGAGCGACGACAGCAGAGGGCACUGCAGCCCGACGGAGCCCGGCGUGGGGCUGGGGGGGAGAUGUGGGGCUGAUGUGGGGCUGGGGGGGGUAUGAUACAGGGGGUUGAGACGUGGGGUGGUGUCGCGGUGUGCCCACGGGAUGUCCCCUCGGGGACCCUACCUGUCUUGGUGCCCCUUUCCUCUCGGGACACCCCCAUCUCCUCGCCCUCCAUCGCUGACUCCAUUAAAAGCCAAUUAGCCCCAAUCAACCCGAGCAGGUUGGAAUUGCCCCCUUCAUCCCCGAUUGGCCCCUCCGAGCACCUGAGCCCAGCCCAUGGGAUAUUGGGGGAGGGGGAGGGGACACCACCGUGUGUUCUCAGCCUCAUUUUCCAGCAUCC
rnacentral:lncRNA from 1 species